GCCGAUCUUUGAUCGGGCGAGCGGGGGUGCUCAAAGUUUGAUCUUCCAAGUUAUGCUAGGAAGUGGGUUAUGAAGUGCUCUAGUAAGAAGUUAAAAGACUGGAAGGCAAACAUAAAGAAAAAUUAUUAUAAGAACCACUUGAGUUUUGACGAACAAAAGCAUUAUAAAGAUAGUAGAGUAUAUGCUGAUCAGUGGGAACACCUUAUUAAGUAUUGGGCCAUCGAAGAAGUAAAGGCACAAAGUGAUAAAAACAAAGCAAGUCGUGUAGAGCGAAAGUAUAAUCAUACUACUGGAACAAAAAAUUUUCCACGUGUUCGAAAGGAGCA